GCCUACGGGGGGCAGCAGUGGGGAAUAUUGGGCAAUGGGCGCAAGCCUGACCCAGCGACGCCGCGUGAGGGAUGAAGGCCUUCGGGUUGUAAACCUCUUUCAGUAGGGAAGAAGCGAAAGUGACGGUAACUAAAGAAGAAGCACCGGCUAACUAUGUGCCAGCAGCCGCGGUAAUCCAUAAGGUGCAAGCGUUGUACGGAAUUAUUGGGCGUAAAGAGCUCGUAGUUCGUUUGCCGCGUCGAGUGUGAAAAUCUGAGGCUCAACCUCAGACCUGCAGUCGAUACGGGCAAACUAGAGUGUGGUAGGGGAGACGGGAAUUCCUGGUGUAGCGGUGGAAUGCGCAGAUAUCAGGAGGAACACCAAUGGCGAAGGCAGGUCUCUGGGCCAUAACUGACACUGAGGAGCGAAAGCGCGGGGAGCGAACAGGAUUAGAUACCCGGGUAGUCAA
rnacentral:rRNA from 1 species